ensembl:lncRNA
AAAGAAUCCUGCAUCUCUGACUCAGUGAGUCCAGGACAUUGCUCCUCUCAGAAGCCCAGCUGCCCUCCGCACAAGCACUCCUGUUUUUGCUUCCAGACAACGCCCUGUCCCCAGGGAGGCUGAUCAUUCGGCUGCUGACCCCGGGGAGCAAGCCAGGCAGUGCACCUCCUGGCAGGGGAGGAGGCAGCAUGUGAGCCCUGCGCAGUGGAAUGAUGCCCACAAUCACCUGUGCCAAAGAAUACAGAGGCCCAGGACCCACGUGAUGAGGGGAGCUGGAGUUCUCCUCACACGUAUACCUAGCAUGCGGCAUGAUGCACCGUGUCUGGAUGCCUAUCCCAUUACUGAUGAGCCAAUCCAUCUGUAAAUUUCUGGGAGAGAGUGGGUGACAUGCAGAAGGAAGCAUAACUCUUGGUUAAAGAGAAUAUAAAGCUAUUUGUUGAUUUUAUUGCCAGCAAUUUUGAUUUCCUAUUCACCAAUGUAUUUCGUAUUUUUUCCCAAAGUCUUAAAAAAGACAUUAGUAGUUUUUCAAGAUCUCUUUUCUAGGUACAUUCUUGUUUGCUCUUUCAAGCAGUAAUUUCAGUAACAGCUGAGAUAAAUUAAAAUCAAAUUUACUUGACAAAUGGAAUAAAAGACAAAAUAUCAAGUCAGAAUUAGCUUCCCGCAAAAGAAGAGGUGUCAAGUCACUUCCUUCAUUCCCAAGAACGAGUGCCUUUCUUCUUGUUUUUUUUUUUUUUUUUUCCCAGAACAUUCUGGAGAGUAGGUGACCCAGUAUACUUUCAAUCAAGUGGUGAAGAACAAGCAAUGAGAGGGGUCCACAGCAGCUCCCAGGAGUGCCUUCGCCUUGGGUUAAAGGUAGCCCAGAAACUGAGAAGGAAAAGGAAAUCCCGAACAUGUAGAGCAUGGGGUCUGAAGUGCUCCUGAGACACAGCAGAGAUGUUUCAGGUGCUGCUUGGGUGCUGGGUUGACUCCUGACCACGACUAUGGAACACAGCCCAGAGUUAUGGCUGCUGACAGCAGAGUUUGGAAACCUGGGACUGCAGAAAACAGUUCUGCUGCCACUGCACCCCCAUCAUUUCCUGGAGGAGGGGAAGAGGGAGAUCCCCAUGAGUCCCCGACAGAAGUGGUCGGAGAUAAACCCCAACCCAAGAGGCCUGUGCUGCUGCGAGUUUCUGGGGCUUCUGGAAGUGGUUUGCUGGCAACGUGGGCGGUACUGGCACGCCAUUCCUAAGAUCAGCCACGAGGGCACACACAGAUAGCAGGUGAAAACGUCAUCUCAGGCUUUACCCUCGAACCACCGAGGAAACGCCUCUGGUCAGCGCCAGAGAUAGGCCCACGGAACUUCAUGAAAGGCGCACUAAUGGAGCAUAAACACACCUCCUUCUCCCAGACACUUGGGGCUGUGUUUACAGAUUAAAUCUCAGGAUGUGUAUAUUUGGUGCUCUGAUUCCAGGAUAUUAAUGGCACAGAGAACUUGUCUGGUGAUGGCUCAGUCACAUUAACGCCUGAUGGACGGUUCAGAUGUGAAAGGUGCACUGAGACAUACGGAGGACUCCAGGACUUGGCAUGUGCACAUCCCAAGGUUGCAGGGCUGGAAUGUGAAUUCAUUUGCAGUUUAACCCUGCAGGAGACGAGUCAUCUUGAAUACUGCAGCCCCAGAAGGCAGGGUCUUGCUAAAUAGAAGGAAAUGUGCAAAGCAUCUACCUGGUGAGUCUUGAUGUGCCUAAUGUAACCCAACAGGGUUUCUAGGAAGCUCUGUAAGUUUAAACGAUUAUCUCAAGACAAAUUCAGAGGUCAACCAGUGGCAAGUUCCUAAAGCCUGGUUAAAUCCUCCAGAGGUAUCUAGGUCAUCUUUUCCUGGAGAAAUCUAGAGAGAAUUCUCACAGAAGGUGCUGGGUGGUGGAAAGACCAUGUCUUACCAAACACUUAACAAACACCUGUAGUACGUCCAUCACUCACUGAACUAGAAGACGAAUGAGAGGAAGACAUUUUUUUCUGGAGGUUGGGUGUGGUCUGCUUGGAAGCAGAAGCAGACUCACAGGCACAAAUGUAGAACCCAAAGAACAAUUAAACUUUAUGUCUAAGGGUAUAGCAUAAGAUAGAGCCAGGCUCGGAAGCAACUGCUAAGAUUUAUUGACAAUCUUCUCUCCUCCAUUUCCAGGUGCACUGGCAGCUUCACAAUAAGAGGCUCCAGGAACUCGGGAGGAGAACAUGGUGACAGCACUGGAUAUGUUUUAAGCAGCAGCAUGAGCUAGUGUGCAGGGCACCAGGGCUGAUUAGAAAAGUCCAUCUCUUGUUUUACCUUAUAUCCUUGCUGGGUGCCACAUCCAUAGCUCUUUAUAGAAGAAGGAAUCCACUGAGCUGAAGCCAGGACAGCCCUGGGGUGCCCCCGGGACUUCUGCUGUCUAAUUUACUACUAAGCACCAAGCAGCUUCCUUUCUUAGUGCUUUGCUGUAGAUACUGGAAGUCCCCUCACUCCUGCCAAGGACACACCAGAGUCCCAAAUCAACCAAACCAAGUGCCCAAGGCAGGUGGAAAAGAAAGAGUUCUGAUGCUCAGAGGGCUUCCAUAGCCUUGGAAACUCAUGACUGGAGCAUAGGGAGAUUACUGAUGCCAUAGACAGGAGUGUCAAUUGGUAAAGUCAACAACAGGAGUCACUGUGCACUUACUCCUCAUGUAGGAUCUCUAUCCUUAAUGUGCUGUACAUUGAGACUUAAUGCUAUAAUGAGUACUCAAAAAGUAUAUUUCACUUUGUGUUUCUAUGGGGGUGCAAACUGUUGAAAUCUUUACUUAAUGCAUACUAAACUGAUCUUCUGUAAAAAAAAAAAAAAAAAAAAAAGAAAGAAAUUAUCAAUUCCCAACUUGACUCUCACUGGGAUUAAACAUGACAAUAGGUCUGAUCUGAUUUUAUCAUCAUUUAAAAAAUCAUCUGUCAUUUUUCACUUUAUGUUUCUGUGUGGGAGCAAAUUGUUGAAAUCUUUACUUAAUGUAUACUAAGCUGAUCUUCUGUAUAUUAAGAUAAUCGAAAAUGAAUCUUGAUGUGAAUGGAAGGGGAGAGGGAGUGGGAAAGGGGAGGGUUGCGGGUGGGAGGGACGGUAUUGGGGGGAAGCCAUUGUAAUCCAUAAGUCGUACUUUGGAAAUUUAUAGUCAUUAAAUAAAAGUUAAAAAAAAAAAGAAAGAGUUCUGAUG